GGGUUCCCGUACAAUCACCGAAGUUAAGCAACGUCGAGCCUGAUCAGUAUUCAGAUGGGUAGACGCUUGGGAAUAUUGCGUGCUGCAAG